rnacentral:Y_RNA from 1 species
GGCUGGUCUGAAGCGUGAGUUAUCUCAUGUGAUUAUUCACAGUCAGUUACAGAUUGAACUCCUUGUUCUACUACUUUCCCCCCUCACUACUGCACUUGACUAGUCAAAA